CCAGACUCCUACGGGAGGCAGCAGUGGGGGAUAUUGCACAAUGGGGGGAACCCUGAUGCAGCGACGCCGCGUGGGUGAAGGAGUGCUUCGGCAUGUAAAGCCCUAUCGGCAGGGAAGAAACAAGACGGUACCUGACUAAGAAGCCACGGCUAACUACGUGCCCGCAGCCGCGGUAAUACGUAGGUGGCAAGCGUUAUCCGGAUUUACUGGGCGUAAAGGGCGAGUAGGCGGGAUUGCAAGUCAGAUGUGAAAACUAUGGGCUCAACCGAUAGAGUGCGUUUGAAACUGCAGUUCUUGAGUGAUGGAGAGGCAGGCGGAAUUCCCGGUGUAGCGGUGGAAUGCGUAGAUAUCGGGAGGAACACCAGUGGCGAAGGCGGCCUGCUGGACAUUAACUGACGCUGAGGCGCGAAAGCGUGGGGAGCAAACAGGAUUAGAUACCCGUGUAGC
rnacentral:rRNA from 1 species